ACGCACACAAUUCCCUUUGUUUUUCUGCAAUGUAGUCUGCAUCAGCCAUCUUAUUAUUAUUGAUUAGUGGAAAGCUUUUGUGCUGAUCUGCUUCAGAUGAUCCCUAUGGCUUCUGAAGGUGAACAAGGUCUGACAUGUAUACAUUUAUUUCCGACUUUUGUGAGAAGCAAAUUUCAAACAAAAGCAUCUUUGGCGGCUUAAUUUUAACUGAAUACAGACCACUACAAUCAGGAGCAAAGAAAGAUGCAACUGAUAUCCGUGGCUUCACAAGCGGCGUAGCUAGCACUCUAUGUUCCACACUCUUGAAUCUGUUAUUGGUAACCAGCUGUUUACAAGCAGCAGCAAAUAAAUUUCAUUCUUUGAUGUGAAACAAUGCUGAAGGUUCUCCUGAAGCAAAUAUCUAAAAACAUAGAAGUACCUGCAUAAGGUCACCAAGAUUUGCUACAAAUGCUCCAUCCACAGGUGGUACGUCAACCCAUUGAUCCUUGUGGAGAACUUGGAGUCCUCCAAUAUCG